UGCCCCGGUAGCUCAGUGGUCGAGCUCCUGUAUAUGAUGAGCGAAACGCCUAGCAAUAACUCUCAGUAUGUCACAGGUUCGAAUCUUGUUCGGUAA
rnacentral:tRNA from 1 species